GAUGAACGCUGGCGGCGUGCCUAAUACAUGCCAGUCGAGCGAACAGACGAGGAGCUUGCUCCUCUGACGUUAGCGGCGGACGGGUGAGUAACACGUGGAUAACCUACCUAUAAGACUGGGAUAACUUCGGGAAACCGGAGCUAAUACCGGAUAAUAUAUUGAACCGCAUGGUUCAAUAGUGAAAGCCGGUUUUGCUGUCACUUAUAGAUGGAUCCGCGCCGCAUUAGCUAGUUGGUAAGGUAACGGCUUACCAAGGCAACGAUGCGUAGCCGAACUGAGAGGGCGAUCGGCCACUCGGAAAUGAGGACGCGUCCCAACCUCCGAAGGGAGGCAGGGGGGGGAAUCCUUCCGGAGGGGGCAAAGGCGUACAGGGGAAACCCCGGGGGAGUGUGAAAGGUCUUCGGCUCGUAAAACCCUUUUUUUUGGGGAUAACAAAGGUGUAAGUAACUGUGCCCGUCUGAACGGUCCCUAAUAAGAAGCCCCGGCAAACUUCCUG
rnacentral:rRNA from 1 species